UACGUAGGGUCCGAGCGUUGUCCGGAGUUACUGGGCGUAAAGCGCGCGCAGGCGGCGGUGCUGGCCCGGCGUGAAAGCCCCCGGCUCAACCGGGAAGAGUCGUCGGGGACCGCACCGCUUGAGGGCGGUAGGGGCUGGUGGAAUGCCUGGUGUAGUGGUGAAAUGCGUAGAGAUCAGGCAGAACACCUGGGGCGAAGGCGGCCAGCUGGGCCGUCCCUGACGCUGAGGCGCGAAGGCGUGGGGAGCGAACGGG
rnacentral:rRNA from 1 species